UGGCUUGCCGAUCCACCCCUGGGGUCCUCCUGUGUCCCUAGCACUGACUCAUGCCAGCACGAGUGACACUUUGUUCAUUUUGUUUCCUAUUGUUUCUCGUGACUUUGGGCAGUCAAAGGCAAGGCCUCAUGCUUUUGAGACCAGCACUUUGUCACGAGCUAUCUCACCAGCCAACGGACAACUGUUGACAGGCCUGAGUAGGGUACACUUCCGCUUUUGGUGAUGUAGGGAGCCUCAAGUCUUGAAGAAAACAGCUCUGUCCCUCUCUCAGGACCACAUCUGGAUCACUGAGGGCACAGGACAAACACUGCCCUGAAGCACGGACAGCCUUAGUCUUAAGAGUAAAGUUAAGGGCUCCAGGCCGUGUUGGUGCUGAAGACUGAACCUAUAGGGAGGGAGCCCACAUUCUUCAGUAUGAUCAUCCGUCGUGUAUUUUAUACUGGUCAAUGUCCGCUGCUCAUCUUCCUUUCAGCUGAAGCACCCGAGGCAGAGAGAGGGAAGUGAUACACUCCAGCAUACCAUGGCAACACAACUUCAUCUGUCAACUCUUGGCUUCAGCAUCUUGGGGAAUUCUGACAUAGGGAAAUAUUUCAAAGCAAUUGUAUUGUCCUUUGGAUGAAACCCAAAUCUAGUUGUUUUGAAGAUAAGAAAAAAGUUUCCCAUUAGGUCUGUUAUCAUAUUGUCAUUAAACAUUAUUUUUUUA